rnacentral:rRNA from 1 species
UACGAAGGGGGCUAGCGUUGCUCGGAAUCACUGGGCGUAAAGCGCACGUAGGCGGUCUUUUAAGUCAGGGGUGAAAUCCUGGAGCUCAACUCCAGAACUGCCUUUGAUACUGGGAGACUUGAGUCCGGGAGAGGUGAGUGGAACUGCGAGUGUAGAGGUGAAAUUCGUAGAUAUUCGGAGGAACACCAGUGGCGAAGGCGGCUCACUGGUCCGGUACUGACGCUGGAGGUGCGAAAGCGUGGGGGAGCAAACAGG